CACACACAGUAUUCCACACCCUUACACAGAAACACAUACACUGCACCCCUCAAUGCAGUAUGUGUGUGUGUAUUCAGCAGUCUGUAUGUGUGUGUAUUCAGCAGUCUGUAUGUGUGUGUAUUCAGCAGUCUGUGUGUGUAUUCAGCAGUCUGUGUGUGUAUGUAUUCAGCAGACUGUGUGUGUGAAUGUAUUCAGCAGACUGUGUGUACUCAGCAGUGUGUGUAUUCAGCAUACUGUGUGUAUGUACUCAGCAGUCUUUGUGGGUGUAUUCAGCAGUCUGUGUGU